AGGAACUUAGGAUUAAUUAAACCGAAGGCCUUCAAAGCCUUAAACAAGAGUUAAACCCUCUUAGUUUCUGC
rnacentral:tRNA from 1 species